rnacentral:rRNA from 1 species
UACGUAGGGUGCGAGCGUUAAUCGGAAUUACUGGGCGUAAAGGGCGCGUAGGCGGACAGUUUAGUCAGAGGUGAAAGCCCAGGGCUCAACCUUGGAAUUGCCUUUGAUACUGGCUGUCUUGAGUUCGGGAGAGGUGAGUGGAAUGCCGAGUGUAGAGGUGAAAUUCGUAGAUAUUCGGCGGAACACCAGUGGCGAAGGCGGCCAACUGGACGAGUACUGACGCUGAGACACGAAAGCGUGGGGAGCAAACAGG